GCCCUAAUAGUAUAACUAUUACCUUGGUCUUGUAAACCAAAAAUGAAGAUUCUAUCUUCUUAGAGCAAUA
rnacentral:tRNA from 1 species